AAUGAACGUUGGCGGCGUGGAUUAGGCAUGCAAGUCGUACGAGAAUCGUAGCAAUACGAGGAAAGUGGCGGAAGGGAGAGGAUUACGUGGGAAUCUACCCUCAGAACUGGGAUAGCGGCGGGAAACUGCCGGUAAUACCAGAUAAUGUCUGUGGACCAAAGGUGUGAUUCCGUCUGGGGAUGAGCCCACGUCCUAUUAGCUAGUUGGCAGGGUAAUGGCCUACCAAGGCAAUGAUGGGUAGCGGGUGUGAGAGCAUGACCCGCCUCACUGGGACUGAGAACUGCCCAGACACGUACGGGUGGCUGCAGUCGAGAAUCUUCGGCGAUGAGCGCAAGCUUGACCGAGCGAGGCCGCGUGCGGGAUGAAGGCCUUCGGGUUGUAAACCGCUGUCGUAGGGGAGCAAGAGAUGAGGGUACUCCCUCUGAUUUGAGCGAUCCUAGGAGGAAGGACGGGCUAAGUUCGUGCCAGCAGCCGCGGUAACAC
rnacentral:rRNA from 1 species